rnacentral:rRNA from 1 species
CAUCAACGCUGGCGGCGUGCCUCAGACAUGCAAGUCGAACGCGAAAGGCCCCUUCGGGGGCCGAGUAGAGUGGCGCACGGGUGAGUAACACGUAGGUAAUCUACCUUUGGGGUGGGGAAUAACAGCCGGAAACGGCUGCUAAUACCGCAUAAUGCAGCGGCUCGACAUCGAGACAGUUGUUAAAGCGGGGGAUCCUUCGGGACCUCGCGCCUAAAGAGGAGCCUGCGGCAGAUUAGCUUGUUGGCAGGGUAACGGCCUACCAAGGCGACGAUCUGUAGCCGGCCUGAGAGGGCGGUCGGCCACACUGACACUGACACACGGGUCAGACUCCUACGGAGGCAGCAGUCGGGAAUUUUGGGCAAUGGGCGAAAGCCUGACCCAGCAACGCCGCGUGAAGGAUGAAAUCCCUCGGGAU